AUUGAACGCUGGCGGCAGGCCUAACACAUGCAAGUCGAACGAGUAGCGGAGGGGUGAGCAAUGUCUGGGAAACUGCCUGAUGGAGGGGGAUAACGGCUGGAAACGUUAGCUAAUACCGCUUAACAUCGGUUGUGCCGAGAGGGGAUUAGCUAGUAGGUGGGGUAAAGGCUCAUCUAGGCGACGAUGCCUAGCUGGUCUGAGAGGAUGACCAGCCACACUGGAACUGAGACACGGCCCAGACUCCUACGGGAGGCAGCAGUGGGGAAUAUUGCACAAUGGGCGAAAGUCUGAUGCAGCAAUGCCGCGUGAAUGAAGAAGGCUUUCGGGUUGUAAAGUACUUUCAGCGGGGAGGCGUUACCCGAAGAAGAAGCCCCGGCUAACUCCGUGCCAGCCGCCGCGGUAAUAC
rnacentral:rRNA from 1 species